UGAAUCUUUUCAUCGGAGGGACAUACAUCUCUCAGAUUUCAUUAAAAUAUCUCCGCUUUUCUUUCGAAGAUGAACGAAAGUCUUAGAUGGUUUGGAGCAUCUUAAGGGUGAGUGAUGACAGAAUUCAAAUUGUUUUGGGGGAAUUAUGAAAUUAAUUAGAAAAUAUGUAAGGGAUAAUCAACGGCUAGCUGUGCAUUAAACGAUUUGAAUGCAGGACGUGGAGGCGAAGAACCACCCGACACGCAGCGGAUGCAUUCAGAUCGUUUAACGCACAGCUAGCCGUUGAUUAUCCCGUUUAUGCCAUGGUCAUUUACCAGCAUUCACAUAUUAAAGAUGUUAAUAAUAUUUGUGCUGCAGUAUUUGACCGGAACGAUAAAAAUGACGGUUAUUUUCGUCUGUAUUACUAUUCAACUGUAACUGUAUGUUACUAUGGUUACCAAUGUUUAUAGGAAGCGCAUUAAUAUAGAACGUGAUUAAACUGACCUGGAACUACCUGCAGUUCAACGAAUUUAAUCAACACCUGCCAGCCAAUCAGAAUCCAGUAUUCAGACAGACCAUGGCAUAAAGCGGUAUGUUCUUAUUUUUACCAGCUUCUGCGGCGUGUAUGGCGUCUGGCUUCAGAACCUCACUGUGACUUCAGAUAAGAACAAAGAUUAAAUUGUAAGAAGAGCUGCUUGUAAGAGCAUACAGUACAUCUGAAACUGCUGAGGCUGGGAAGGUUUUUGACUAUAUUUCCGACCAGAUCAGCUGCUAUAGAAGACAAACUGAAAUCUGAGUGCAGAGACAAGCAAAGGAAUACUGCAAGACACUACUGACUAGGCUGUGCCCAGGUCUCCGGAACCUGCGACGACACUCAGCUCCAUCGGCCCUUAGUCUGCGGCUUCGGAUCCACCAGCGCUGUCUCCAUCGGUCGGCCCCCAGAUGUCGGCAGCCACACCAUCUACAACUUGGCUCCUCGCUCCCUCGACUCCGCCGUGUGUUGUCAGCACUGGGAUGCUCUGGGUCUGUGCCAUGUGCCAAACACCAUCUAAGCCGCCAGGGCAUCAUCGUCAUCCUCUCAUCACCAUCCCUACACCAUCUCCUCGUCCACCUCCAAAACCCCUCCAUCCCUCCCUAUUCUGUUGCUUGAACUUUAUCAUCUUCAGUCUUU